ACUCCUACGGGAGGCAGCAGUGGGGAAUUUUGGACAAUGGGCGAAAGCCUGAUCCAGCAAUGCCGCGUGAGUGAAGAAGGCCUUCGGGUUGUAAAGCUCUUUUGUCAGGGAAGAAACGGUGAGAGCUAAUAUCUCUUGCUAAUGACGGUACCUGAAGAAUAAGCACCGGCUAACUACGUGCCAGCAGCCGCGGUAAUACGUAGGGUGCAAGCGUUAAUCGGAAUUACUGGGCGUAAAGCGUGCGCAGGCGGUUUUGUAAGUCUGAUGUGAAAUCCCCGGGCUCAACCUGGGAAUUGCAUUGGAGACUGCAAGGCUAGAAUCUGGCAGAGGGGGGUAGAAUUCCACGUGUAGCAGUGAAAUGCGUAGAUAUGUGGAGGAACACCGAUGGCGAAGGCAGCCCCCUGGGUCAAGAUUGACGCUCAUGCACGAAAGCGUGGGGAGCAAACAGGAUUAGAAACCCCGGUAGUCCCA
rnacentral:rRNA from 1 species